AGUUUUAUAUUCAAAUAUGAUAUUAAAUUGCAAAUUUAAUGGUGAGAAACUCUCUAAAGCUU
rnacentral:tRNA from 1 species